AUUGAACGCUGGCGGCAUGCCUUACACAUGCAAGUCGAACGGCAGCACGGGUGCCUGCACCUGGUGGCGAGUGGCGAACGGGUGAGUAAUACAUCGGAACAUGUCCUGUAGUGGGGGAUAGCCCGGCGAAAGCCGGAUUAAUACCGCAUACGAUCCACGGAUGAAAGCGGGGGACCUUCGGGCCUCGCGCUAUAGGGUUGGCCGAUGGCUGAUUAGCUAGUUGGUGGGGUAAAGGCCUACCAAGGCGACGAUCAGUAGCUGGUCUGAGAGGACGACCAGCCACACUGGGACUGAGACACGGCCCAGACUCCUACGGGAGGCAGCAGUGGGGUAUUUUGGACAAUGGGCGAAAGCCUGAUCCAGCAAUGCCGCGUGUGUGAAGAAGGCCUUCGGGUUGUAAAGCACUUUUGUCCGGAAAGAAAUCCUUGACUCUAAUACAGUCGGGGGAUGACGGUACCGGAAGAAUAAGCACCGGCUAACUACGUG
rnacentral:rRNA from 1 species